rnacentral:lncRNA from 1 species
CAAAUGUCUUGCAUCAGGGCUGUUCUCCACCAAUCUCUGCUUCCCAGCAGUUUUCUUCUCUGUGGGAUGGCUUGUGACAGCCACAGAGAUAGUCUGGGACCUGGAAGAAACGAGCCUGAACGUGAAAGCAGAGAGCAGCCCGGCCUGUUGUGCAGAGUACAGAAUGUUCUCUUCUGUGAACUGAGCUUGAACUUUUCCAACCCACUUUGUUUGGGGAACCAUACAGACACAGAGGGGAAAAGAUAGGGAAGAUAACCCCCAAAUGGUUGAAAUCAUUGUGUUCUCUCUGAUUUUGGCACAGAUCGUUUGCUUUUCACUGCUCCAAAUUAAAAAUCCCAAGCAUUACAGUUCUUGGAAAAAUGGAAUGCCUGUGAUGUCUUUUCUCUAACUCAGGGCUCUGGC